CACGUAUCUCGAAUUGAACAUUGCAAGGUCAUCCCAGAACUGGAGAACAUUUAAGGACAAACGUCAUCUAGGACACAAUUCGUGGCUAACCACAGAGAUGCAUAAUAUGCCUUGGAGCAGAAGGCAUUGCUAUUUGCAAAUGAGCCGUAAGGUGGAAAGCCGACUCGAUCUGGAAACAACCUUUUGCAGAUCCACUAUGACUACUGCUGGUUCACUGUUGAACACGCAACUAGAAACAUUUGAUUGGAGAACACCGUUUUGUUAUAAAAUAUAAAAAAAUCUAAACAAUAUUCAUUUACUUACAUUUAAAUUACACAAACCUAUGCUUUAUAAUGAAUACACGGAAAACAAAAACAAUACGUUACGGUAAAUAAACUGCAAUUCCGGUUAUUCGUGAAAACAUUUCACCUAUCAUCUACAUUUCUGCCUCAUAAUGGAUUCAUUGGAUUUAAAGACAUAUACUGCAAUUUCUAGUCGGUGUAAGUGUUUUAAAAUUGAUCUUUGAAAAAUAACGUUCUCUAUAAUUUACAUAGUUGGAUAAGCAAAACUUUUUUUUUUCGGAUUCAAAUUUCCAUUUUUCACAAGUGUCUUUUACAGAAAUGUAAGGGCGAUGCUUGGACUUUGUGUGUCAUGUAUGUGUGUGUUGAUUAUAGUUUAACAGUUUGAAUUGUCAAAAGAUAACGUGAGGUGGUACAAUAGUAUGUCAGUGUUUCAUAUAAGUUAGUUAAUGUGUUAACUAUGUAUUCGCUUCUUAUGUCAAUGUUGUUUAUAGUCAUAGUAUAUAUUUGCAGCACGGAUAUAUUAACUUAUCAUGCUUAUGGUGGCAUAAAACUUUGCUUUCUUUACAAAUUUCUCCGUAAUCUGCCUAUUUAUAGAUUGAAUACGAUAUUGGUUAAAACAUGUAAAAUGCUGACGGGUAUUACACAUAUAUUCUAAUGAAUAUCAAAUUCUGUAAGUCUUAUAUAAAUGUAUUCUAUAGAAAAGAAUGUUAUCAGUUCUGAUUGGUUUCAAAACGUAGCAUUUAUCUUAUAAACUUGGUUAUCAGAUAAAAUCGAUAAAAAUGCCAAUAACGAAGAGUACUUAGAUUGUAUAAAAUAAUCAUUAUAAACGAAAGUGUAUUAGUGUACAGUUACUAACAUUUAUCAUUCUUAUGGUCGGCGAACUAAUAUUUCUUUUUUCCUGCACCAAUUAACGGUGCGAGUCUGUCUUUUUUUAUCCAAAUAAUUGCAACAUCACCAAAAAGCUGCAGUUUUCACAACUCAGACUAGCUCAAAUAAAAUGAAAUAAUUUGAAGGCAUCAACCAGAACUGACCAUAUUUGCACUUUAUUAUGUAUAUUUAUAUAGCGGCAACAUGAGUCAGUAAUCACUUUAUGUCAGGAUCGAUUGUGUUAUACAAAUGACAGCAAUAUUUGAACACAAUGAUUACAAAAUGUUGUUCGCAUCAAUUUAAAGUGCCAGCAUGUCUUCAUUAUAUACAACAUAUUCAAAAUAUAAACGCUCCACACAAAAUCGUUAGUUUUGAUAUAUCAGGCUGACUUGUGUAACAAAUAUUAUGACUGCAUCAACCAAAACUGACCAUAUUUGCAAUUUGUUAUGUAAAUUUUUAAAGCCGCAUAAUAAAUCAGUGUGUUUUUUUUUUA